rnacentral:rRNA from 1 species
UAAGGAAUCUUCCACAAUGGGCGAAAGCCUGAUGGAGCAACGCCGCGUGCAGGAUGAAGGCCCUCGGGUCGUAAACUGCUUUUAUGAGUGAAGAAUACGACGGUAACUCAUGAAUAAGCACCGGCUAACUACGUGCCAGCAGCCGCGGUCAUACGUAGGGUGCAAGCAUUAUCCGGAGUGACUGGGCGUAAAGAGUUGCGUAGGCGGUUAGUAAAGCGAAUAGUGAAACCUGGUGGCUCAACCAUACAGACUAUUAUUCGAACUCACUAACUUGAGAGUGGUAGAGGUAACUGGAAUUUCUUGUGUAGGAGUGAAAUCCGUAGAUAUAAGAAGGAACACCAAUGGCGUAGGCAGGUUACUGGACCAUUUCUGACGCUAAGGCACGAAAGCGUGGGGAGCGAACC